rnacentral:rRNA from 1 species
CCUACGGGAGGCAGCAGUGAGGAAUAUUGGUCAAUGGACGAGAGUCUGAACCAGCCAAGUAGCGUGAAGGAUGACUGCCCUAUGGGUUGUAAACUUCUUUUAUAUGGGAAUAAAAUGUUCCACGUGUGGGAUUUUGUAUGUACCAUAUGAAUAAGGAUCGGCUAACUCCGUGCCAGCAGCCGCGGUAAUACGGAGGAUCCGAGCGUUAUCCGGAUUUAUUGGGUUUAAAGGGAGCGUAGGUGGAUUGUUAAGUCAGUUGUGAAAGUUUGCGGCUCAACCGGAAAAUUGCAGUUGAAACUGGCAGUCUUGAGUACAGGAGAGGUGGGCGGAAUGCGUGGUGUAGCGGUGAAAUGCUUAGAUAUCACGAAGAACUCCGAUUGCGAAGGCAGUUCACUGGACUGCAACUGACACUGAGGCUCGAAAGUGUGGGUAUCAAACAGGAUUAGAUACCCUUGUAGUC